AACGAACGCUGGCGGCAUGCCUAACACAUGCAAGUCGAACGAGACCUUCGGGUCUAGUGGCGCACGGGUGCGUAACGCGUGGGAACCUGCCCUUAGGUUCGGAAUAACUCCCCGAAAGGGGUGCUAAUACCGGAUAAUGUCUUCGGACCAAAGAUUUAUCGCCUUUGGAUGGGCCCGCGUUGGAUUAGCUAGUUGGUAGGGUAAAAGCCUACCAAGGCGACGAUCCAUAGCUGGUCUGAGAGGAUGAUCAGCCACACUGGGACUGAGACACGGCCCAGACGCCUGCGGGAAGGAGCAGUAGGGUAGGGUGGGCAAGGGGCGAAAGCGUGAAGCCGCAACGGCGCGGGAACGAGGAAGCCCGUCGGGGUGGAAAGUGCUGUGAGUGGGGACGAAACAUGACGGUACCCACAGAGGAAGCACCGGCGAACUCCGUG
rnacentral:rRNA from 1 species